rnacentral:rRNA from 1 species
CCCUAUGGGGUGCAGCAGGCGAGAAAACUUUGCAAUGUGCGCAAGCACGACAAGGUUAAUCCGAGUGUUUCCUGCUAAAGGAAUCUUUUGUUAGUCGUAAAACCACUAGUGAAUAAGGGGUGGGCAAGUUCUGGUGUCAGCCGCCGCGGUAAAACCAGCACCUCAAGUGGUCAGGAGGAUUAUUGGGCCUAAAGCAUCCGUAGCCUGCUCUGUAAGUUUCCGGUUAAAUCCAUUGGCUCAACUAAUGGGCUGCCGGAAAAACUGCAGAGCUAGGGAGUGGGAGAGGUAGACGGUACUCGGUAGGAAGGGGUAAAAUCCUUUGAUCUAUUGAUGACCACCUGUGGCGAAGGCGGUCUACCAGAACACGUCCGACGGUGAGGGAUGAAAGCUGGGGGAGCAAACCGGAUUAGAUACCCGGGUAGUCCCAGCCGUAAACCAUGCAAACUCAGUGAUGCAUUGGCUUGUGGCCAGUGCAGUGCUGCAGGGAAGCCGUUAAGUUUGCCGCCUGGGAAGUACGUACGCAAGUAUGAAACUUAAAGGAAUUGGCGGGGGAGCACCACAAGGGGUGAAGCCUGCGGUUCAAUUGGAGUCAACGCCAGAAAUCUUACCCGGAGAGACAGCAGAAUGAAAGGUCAAGCUGAAGACUUUACCAGACAGCUGAGAAGUAGUGCAUGGCAG